rnacentral:pre_miRNA from 1 species
UUGGAAGAUUUAAAGACUUCAACUUGCAGACUUGAUAAAUUUGAAGGUUUGAACUUUCAUACUUGAAGGAUUUGAAGAAUUCAACU